GACGAACGCUGGCGGCGUGCUUAACACAUGCCAGUCGAACGGAAAGGCCCUGCUUGCAGGGUACUCGAGUGGCGAACGGGUGAGUAACACGUGGGUGAUCUGCCCUGCACUUCGGGAUAAGCUUGGGAAACUGGGUCUAAUACCGGAUAGGAGCCAUCUUUAGUGUGGUGGUUGGAAAGUUUUUUCGGUGUAGGAUGAGCUCGCGGCCUAUCAGCUUGUUGGUGGGGUAAUGGCCUACCAAGGCGGCGACGGGUAGCAGGCCUGAGAGGGUGUACGGCCACAUUGGGACUGAGAGACGGCCCAGACUCCGACGGGAGGCAGCAGUGGGGAAUAUUGCACAAUGGGCGCAAGCCUGAUGCAGCGACGCCGCGUGGGGGAUGAAGGCCUUCGGGUUGUAAACUCCUGUCGCUAGGGACGAAGCUUUGUUGUGACGGUACCUAGAGAAGAAGCACCGGCUAACUACGUG
rnacentral:rRNA from 1 species